UUCAUUUUACUCGACCCAGAUGCAAUGGUCGAUACUGGGCCUACUGCUCGGCGAUUUUCCCAGAGCGCAGAAAGUGAUUAUACCAAUUCGUCUGAAUCUGAUGUAAUAUUUGUUUUGGAUAGAAUAUUUGAGAGGGGAUGCGGGCCAUUUAAAGUAAGAGUUGAACAAGUUUUGCAGUCUCAAUCUAGUCUCAUAACUGCGUAUAAACUUAGCAAUACACUGGAGUUCUACUGCUACACUUGGAUUGAAGCUAUUUGGAUCCCUUGUUACCUUCUUGAAGAGUAAGGAUGCAAGUGAUGUUUCAGAGCAGGCAUUGAUAUCUGAAUUGUCUGCAUUGAAUGAACACCUUAAAGCCCAUACUAAGUAGUGUCCUGCACCAGGCUGUGAGUUUGCACUGCGAGUUGCUGAAUGUUUUGACAACCCUGGGAAUUUCGGUAACCAGUUCGCUUCAUAUCUAUUGCAUUUCAUAUAGAUUAUAGACAUAGUUGCUAGGAUAUUUGUAUGCAGCUAGAAUACACAGAGGAUGACUAUCAGCAGGAGCUUGAGCACAUUGAGCAGGUCAGUUUAACUUGUAUCUUGUGGUAGUUAACCUGUUAAGGUAAAUUCCCUCAAACCCUACAUUUAUUGCUUACAAUUAGAUAUGUUAAGUAUUGUCCCAAACUAUGCAUAGGAUACUGUGAUUUGCCUUAAGAAUUCCAUGGGGAUGCAUGCAGAAUGCAUACAACAGUCCAUUUGUGACUAGACAAUUACAAGGUUUUUUAGCUAAUUGAGAUUCUGGACUUUGUAUUUACCUAUAUGAGAAAAGAGAAAGAAAUAGAGAAAAACAUUACAGUUAAGCUGGACCGAUGACGAACUGAUAUUCUUAAUAUCUUUCUUUUUAUGUAGGUUGAAGUUCUUGUCCUUAAUGGAAGCAACACUGCCAUUCCAAGGUAGUGUGAACGAUUUUUAGCACAUAUCAAGCAGCUACUGGUGCACGUGCUACUACUGCAGUGGAAGAGUUUGAAUUCCAGUUUGUUAUUGAUCUUAUUAAUCAGUGACCAAGGUCCAAGACUGAACAAGGAAAAGUAACUCAAUGCUCACUGGUGUAUGUAUUUUUUUUUCUGUUGUUACUUCCCAUUCCUUUUCAGAGGUAUACAGAAUAACUUUUUAGUGAAGAUUUCAUGAAUUUUUUAAGUUCAAUGAUAGUUUUUAGAAUUUAAUGUAUGAAAUGAUCAUGUUAUACCU